AGCAGCCGCGGUAAUUCCAGCUCCAAUAGCGUAUAUUAAAGUUGUUGCAGUUAAAAAGCUCGUAGUUGAAUUUCGGGGUCAGCAGGUUGGUCGUGCCUAUGGUAUGCACUGGCCUUGCUGAUUCCUCCCUCUUGUAGAACCGUAAUGCCAUUAAGUUGGUGUUGCGGGGAAACAGGAUUGUUACUUUGAAAAAAUUAGAGUGUUUAAAGCAGGCUAACGCCUGAAUACAUUAGCAUGGAAUAAUGAAAUAGGACGAUCGAUCCUAUUUUGUUGGUUUCUAGGAUUGACGUAAUGAUUAAUAGGGAUAGUUGGGGGCAUUAGUAUUCAAUUGUCAGAGGUGAAAUUCUUGGAUUUAUUGAAGACUAACUACUGCGAAAGCAUUUGCCAAGGAUGUUUUCAUUAAUCAAGAACGAAAGUUAGGGGAUCGAAGACGAUCAGAUACCGUCGUAG
rnacentral:rRNA from 1 species